rnacentral:rRNA from 1 species
UACGAAGGGGGCUAGCGUUGUUCGGAAUUACUGGGCGUAAAGCGCACGUAGGCGGAUCGAUCAGUCAGGGGUGAAAUCCCCGGGCUCAACCCGGGAACUGCGUCCGAUACCGGAAGGCUUGAAUCCGGGAGAGGGAUGCGGAAUUCCAGGUGUAGCGGUGAAAUGCGUAGAUAUCUGGAGGAACACCGGUGGCGAAGGCGGAUCUCUGGGCCAUUACUGACGCUGAGGAGCGAAAGCGUGGGGAGCGAACAGG